AGAGUCGGCUCGCUGGCUCAUCUCCCAGGGCAGGAAGGAGGAGGCGCUGAAGGAGCUGCAGAGGGCGGCCCGGCUGAACGGGACCAAGAUACCAGAACACCUGCUGGACAAGCUUGAGAUCGAGGAAACAUCUGGAGGAAGAAACGUAUUCGACAUCUUCCGGAUAUCGUAUUUGAGAAAACGUACUCUCAUAAUGGGCUACAACUGGUUCGCAUCAAUUCUUUUAUACUACGGACUGCUCCUGAAUGUUGGCAGUUUUGGUCUGAAUAUCUACCUCACGCAGUCCAUCUUUGGCGUCGUUCAAUUUCCUGCACAGGCUACUUCUUACACUCUGAUUCAACGCAUUGGAAGGAGGACAGGACUAGUGGGCUUCCUGUUCUUUGGGGGAGCUGCUUGCCUCAUUGUCCUCGCCAUCC